GGAUAGCUUGUGAGGCUAUUCACCUUGGUCUAUCCAAGAUAAUGGUAAUGGCAUCAUGUAUAGCAAUCAUCUUCUCAAUAAAUAAUAUUCAAUAAUAUUCAAAUUUAUGUUAAUUGAGUUCUCUUUAUUGGCGUUAAACAACUUAAUUAAGAGAAAACAAAUCAAGGUAAAAGGAAUGAAAAGUAGAAAGAACCACUAUACUCCUACAAAGCUGGGUAUGGGUCCCACCAUCCCAAGCCAGGAAAGCCCAACCAGACAGCACCACCAACCUACCUCACCGCCCGUGCUAAACUGGCUCUUCAAAUGAUGUCAAAAAGGGUUUAGGAGAGCUCUGCUUUUUUCUUUUUCUUCUUCUUCUUUUUUUUAAUGCAACUCUGCUUAAAUCAUUUCAGAUGUAAAACCCUAACUUGGCAGGUGCAGCAGCCA
rnacentral:lncRNA from 1 species